rnacentral:rRNA from 1 species
GACGGAGGGUGCUAGCGUUGUUCGGAAUGACUGGGCGUAAAGGGCGCGUAGGCGGCUCGUGAAGUCGGGUGUGAAAUCCCCGGGCUUAACCUGGGAACUGCGCUUGUAACUGGCAAGCUGGAGUGUGGCAGAGGGGGGUGGAAUUCCGACGUGUAGCAGUGAAAUGCGUAGAGAUGUGGAGGAACACCGAUGGCGAAGGCAGCUUUCUGGCUCGUAACUGACACUGGAGAUUCGAAAGCGUGGGUAGCAAACACGG